rnacentral:antisense_RNA from 1 species
CGUUAUGGCGGUUGUGCGCGGGAGAUCUUCGGGUCUGCCGGGUCCCAAUAACCGGUCUUGCACACCCGCGCACAACUGCCACCUUC